rnacentral:rRNA from 2 species
CAGUCGAACGAACUCUGGUAUUGAUUGGUGCUUGCAUCAUGAUUUACAUUUGAGUGAGUGGCGAACUGGUGAGUAACACGUGGGAAACCUGCCCAGAAGCGGGGGAUAACACCUGGAAACAGAUGCUAAUACCGCAUAACAACUUGGACCGCAUGGUCCGAGUUUGAAAGAUGGCUUCGGCUAUCACUUUUGGAUGGUCCCGCGGCGUAUUAGCUAGAUGGUGAGGUAACGGCUCACCAUGGCAAUGAUACGUAGCCGACCUGAGAGGGUAAUCGGCCACAUUGGGACUGAGACACGGCCCAAACUCCUACGGGAGGCAGCAGUAGGGAAUCUUCCACAAUGGACGAAAGUCUGAUGGAGCAACGCCGCGUGAGUGAAGAAGGGUUUCGGCUCGUAAAACUCUGUUGUUAAAGAAGAACAUAUCUGAGAGUAACUGUUCAGGUAUUGACGGUAUUUAACCAGAAAGCCACGGCUAACUACGUGCCAGCAGCCGCGGUAAUACGUAGGUGGCAAGCGUUGUCCGGAUUUAUUGGGCGUAAAGCGAGCGCAGGCGGUUUUUUAAGUCUGAUGUGAAAGCCUUCGGCUCAACCGAAGAAGUGCAUCGGAAACUGGGAAACUUGAGUGCAGA